GGAUCGGUGGCCUGGUGCGGGGCGCGAUCUUCUCCGCCGCGGUGGGCUGGAUGCUGGCGGCCCUGGGGCAGUUCUGCUCCGCCCUGUACUG
rnacentral:tRNA from 1 species